UACAGAGGUCUCGAGCGUUAGGCGGAAUCACUGGGCUUAAAGCGUGUGUAGGCGGAUUGGUAAGUACCUUGUGAAAUCCCACGGCUCAACCGUGGAACUGCUCGGUAUACUGCCUGUCUUGUGCAACCUAGGGGCGAGCGGAACAGAUGGUGGAGCGGUGAAAUGCGUAGAUAUCUGCAGGAACACCCGUGGCGAAAGCGGCGCGCUGGACCACUACUGACGCUGAGGAACGAAAGCUAGGGGAGCAAACAGG
rnacentral:rRNA from 1 species